AAUCAACGCUGGCGGCGUGCCUAACACAUGCAAGUCGAACGGGAAAGUGGAGCAAUCCACGAGUAUAGUGGCGACCGGGUGAGUAACACGUGACUACCUGCCCUUGAGUGGGGGAUAACCUCGGGAAACCGAGGCUAAUACCGCAUAAAAUCGAAAGAUCAAAGGAGCAAUCCGCUUUUGGAGGGGGUCGCGGCUGAUUAGCUAGUUGGUAGGGUAAUGGCCUACCAAGGCGAAGAUCGGUAUCCGGCCUGAGAGGGCGCACGGACACACUGGAACUGAAACACGGUCCAGACUCCUACGGGAGGCAGCAGUGGGGAAUUUUGCGCAAUGGGGGAAACCCUGACGCAGCAACGCCGCGUGGAGGAUGAAGCCCCUUGGGGUGUAAACUCCUUUCGACUGGGAAGAUAAUGACGGUACCAGUGGAAGAAGCACCGGCUAACUCUGUGCCAGCAGCCGCGGUAAUACAGAGGGUGCGAGCGUUGUUCGGAAUUAUUGGGCGUAAAGGGCGCGUAGGCGGUGCGGUAAGUCACCUGUGAAAUCCCCAGGCUUAACCUGGGGCCUGCAGGCGAAACUGCCG
rnacentral:rRNA from 1 species